ensembl:lncRNA
GUUUGCUUCCACUGCAGCGCGAGGAGGAAGGUCAAAUGCGGGGGGGGCGUUGGUGUAGAGAGUUAGAGAUGCUGACAUUCAGCAGGGAGCAGCGGUGCAUUGAGGCAGCAGCGGCAGCAGCCUCCCAUCCUCCCUCCCAUCCUCCCUCCCAUCCUCCCUCCCAUCCUCCCUCCCAUCCUCCCUCCCAUCCUCUCUCUCCCUCUUCCCUUUCCUGCUCUCCUCUGUGCAGACUGACAGGGAUGAAAAGCUGGCUGCUGAUCAAAACACCCCACCCACCAUCACCGCCUGCUAUCCUCCGCUCAUGCACUCUCCACCGCUUCCCUCUCUUGCUCUCUCUCCUGCUUUCUCUCAUUAUUUCUCCCUCCUCCUCCCCUCUUUUCCCCCCUUAUUCUGCUUCUUCGCUCCCCUGCUGCUCCAGCUCCCUCAGCCUCUCGCUCUGUUCACCUCUCAUCUCCUAUGAGCUGCCUUUUUCCAUUUUCAGUCGUCCUGCCUUCAUCCUUCCUCAUCCCAUUCUCCCUCUUUUCUCUCUCUCAUCUUCUCUACUCCUCUCCCCACCUCUUUUCACCUCAACUCCCACGUCUAAGCAGCAGAAAUAGAGUGUGCGAAACAGAAAAGGAGAGCAAGUCGGAGAGAGAUUGUUGUUAGCGGGCUGAGGCAGAGCUGUCAUCAGCUGAAGGAUCUGAAAGUCUGUGUGUGUGUGUCGGUAGGUGCUGUGCCAAUUUACGCUGAGCAGCCUAAUCAAAGGGAAGAGCACACACACACACACACACACACACACACACACACACACACACACACACACACACACACACACACACACACACACACACACACACACACACACACACACACACACACACACACACCCCACCCAUGGGUCCCCCUCAGAAAUUCUCCUUGUGCCUGCGUUCACUCGCUUUUAGGGGCUGGAAAGAAGAAAAAAACUGCACACACAUGCUGCCUUGAGCUGCAGAUUCUCCCGUGUGGAGGGAAACAUGCUGUGUGCGUCCACACAGGUUCAUUAACAGGUUACCUGAAGCUCACGCACGUAGCGAGUGUGCAGGAGAGAGAAAAAAACAGACUGUUUUGUGCCGAGGCUCUGAGUGGGAACAAAAGACGAACGGGGGCAGUUACAUCAGAGAGACUGAAAGAGAUGGAAAGAGAAAAGAAGGGCAACAAGAAAGAGAACAAGGUGUAAAAAGAAGGAGAGUUAGACCAGCAAGAGAGGGAGCGAUGGGAGGGCUUCAAAGAGGGAGAGAAAGAAAGAAGUGCAAAGAUUGAAAGAUUAAAGACAAGAGCAGAGCUGCUGGUCUGAGUCCAGGGCAUAAGGAUGGGCAGCUGGCAGUUCACAGAGAAGGACAGCGAGAGUGAACAGGAGGUUACGGGGAAAGAAAGUGCUUCACCGCCACCACACCAGCACAAUUAGGAGGCGUUCCUGCUGUGUGUUUCUCUGAGGAGCCGGUUCACUGGUCAGCUGCAUCCAUCUCACCACUCGUGCACACUGCAGCCUUCUCCCUGCAGAUCUGCACUCAGAGCAGCCCGUCUGCACACCUGCAGUGAACUUUCCUGCACGUGCACUGCAGCUUUUGUGUUCAGAAUCUGGGCAGGGAAUGUUAAAUGUUCUGAGGAAGGCCAGAGGUCACAGGCGGAAGAUCACAAACGUGUAUUUAUUUCAGCCACAACAUUAUGACUGAAUAACAUGGAUCACCUUGUUACAAUGCAGCGUUCUGCUGGGAAACCUUGAGUCCUGAUGUUCAUGUGGAUGUUUGACAUGUACCCCCCAUCUAAACAUUGCAGGUCAAGCAAUCCCCCAUGGCAACAGCAGUCCCUGAUGCCAGUUGCCACCCCAACACACCGCAAAAACUGCCCAGUAGUAGUCCAGGGAACAGGACAGAGCUAAGGUGUUCACCCAGGUUCCACACUCCCAAGAUUCAAAUCUUAUUAAGCGUCAGUGGGAUGUGCCAGGAUAAGCCUGAUCUAGGUAGGACCCACAGAAUUCACUAGUGCCACAGGACAUCCCCAGAGGGUCUGAGUCCAUGCCCCUCUGGGUCAGAGGAGUUUUAGCAGCAUAAAGGAGACCAACACAAUAUAAGGAAGGUGGUCAUAAUGGGGCUGCACAGUGGCUUGGUGUUUAGCAGUUUCGUCUUGCAGCUAGAAGAUCCUUGGUUCGUGUCCUGGACUUCCUGGGAUCUUUCAGCAUGGAGUUUGCAUGUUCUCCCUGUUCAUGUGUGGAUUUUCUCUGGGUUCUCCAGCUGCCUCCCACAGUCCAAAAACAUGCUGAGGUUAAUUGGUGACUCUAAAUUGUCUGCAGGUGUGAAUGACCUGUAAGAUAUUCCUGUGUACCACCUCCACCUAUCCAGCGAGGCAAAAUGCUGUCCGAACAGCCACCUACACCUGAAAACAUGGCGAUUACCGAUGAUGGACGGGCGUGCCGGCCGACGGGGCCGAGGGAGGCUGCACUGAGGUGGAGCUCGGAGCAAUACGAACCCUGGAGAUGGGCUCGGCGGAGAACAGCUGCUCCCCGAUCCCGGCCGGGAAAUGUGUUUUCUGAACUGAGCCCCUUACUGCAAGGCAGACGGCAGGGACGGUGUUUAACAGGAGGAUAAGGCUGCGCUUUGGAGACCCGCUGCACACGGGGGACUGUUUGAAAUGCAGAGCGAGGGACGUGUGUGUGUUCUGCCUUCGGAUGGUUGCUAUCAUAUUCAGACACCUGGCGGACACUGAUUGGACAGGAACAUCCCUCUGGCCACCUUGACUGUGGGCCAAGAGUGCAUAUGCCUGUGUGUGUGUGCGUGUGUGUGCAUGUGUGAUAACCAUACAAUUGUCAUUCUACGACCACGUCAUCAGUGUGUUUGUGCACACGUGUCUGUGCGAGUGUGAAAGAAGUGCAUCUCCAAUUCAAGAUGUCAUGCAUCGGGAGGAGAAAAAAAACAAAAAAAAAAAAGCAGCAGCCAACCACUGGAUGUACUAUCUCAAUGUGUGUGUGUUCAAAACAAGAGACAAAUAAGGGAACUGUACAUGAUGAUGUGCUUUACAGGUUCUAAAUAUUCUGACACCGGAAGUAAAAAAAAAAAAACACGGACGCAGUAUUUUAAUAUAAUGCUCUUAUCUUCGGAGAUGUAUUUUGAUGUGCAUUAUGACUAAACGACAUCAUUGCGUCACCCUUGGUAUAUGUCAGGCUUUGUGUUAUUCAGAAAUAAAUAUAUAUAUCUAUACAUAUAUAUAUAUGAAAACAACAAAAAAUUAAUACGGGCUCUGUUUAAGAGUUCGAACUGUGUGCACAUUCAAUAUGUACAGUAGACAUCAUCACUGGACGGGCUGGGAGUCGUGUCAUCUCACUUCAUAUCUAUGUACAGAUCAGAAGUAUUAACUGUUAACCAUUUCAACGAUUAUUUCACACGCCACCGCCGUGCAGAAAGAUUCAGUUCAGAUUUCACCUGUCCCUUUGUGUAUCUAAAAUGUAGCCUCUUUUCACGCCGCCAUGCUAUAUAACUAAAGCGCCGCGCAGGGCGUCAGUUUAAAGUACUGGUCAUAUCAAAAUGGAGACAUAUUUAAGUAUUAGAGCAUAAAAAAGUGCAAAAAACGCCACACCAAACUCUUUUAUGAAGCUCAUUAUUUAAUGGUGUAUAUAAGUAUUUGAUGCUGUUUAAAUGUAAGAUGUGAUGUACUAAUAUAAUUGUGUAUAGUAUUUCCUAGAGAUGUUUAUUUUCUAUAAAAUGGAAUAUGUUAUUGCUUAUAAAAUGUUAUUAAAAGAAUCCAUUGAUGAAAAAAAAUAACGACCUUUUUUGGGAAUGUCACUUGUCUUAAGUGGGAGCAUGCCGUUUUACUGAUUUUCAUGUCCUAUUUGUUUGGAAUUGAUGACACAGCAUCACUUUGUUUGAAAUGUUUUUGUAACGCCAAUGUUAAAUAUACCAGCACCUUUCAAUGCUGCUACGACC